rnacentral:rRNA from 1 species
CACGUAGGCACCAAGCGUUGUCCGGAUUUAUUGGGCGUAAAGAGCUCGUAGGCGGUUCAGUAAGUCAGGUGUGAAAUCUUUGGGCUUAACCCAAAGCGUGCACUUGAUACUGCUGUGACUUGAGUUCGGUAGGGGAGUGGGGAAUUCCUAGUGUAGCGGUGAAAUGCGUAGAUAUAGGAAGGAACACCAGUGGCGAAGGCGACCACCUGGACUGAUACUGACACUGAGGUGCGAAAGCGUGGGGAGCAAACAGG